rnacentral:lncRNA from 1 species
CUUAUGUAAUUGUGGAUAGCCAUAGUUGCUAACUACAAUUUCUCUUUGGGUGUCAAUAUGAAAAUAAGGCAUGUCAGCCAAAAUAUUCCAUCUUGCUUUCCAAACUCCAAAAGUUCGUUCAACACAAUUUCUACACGAAGAGUGGUAAUAAUUGAACCUUUCCUUUAAGUUUCUCGGUUGACGUAAUUGCUUUGUCCUAGCCCGACGAAAAUCAUCAAGAUGAUAUCUUAUAUUCUCACCUCUAUAAGGACCCAUAUAUCCCGGCAUAUGUGUAUAUCCAGCAUCAACCAAGUAAUAUUUUUCUCCUUUUGGAAUAGGAAAAUUAAGUU